rnacentral:rRNA from 1 species
AGUGAACGCUGGCGGUAUGCCUAACACAUGCAAGUCGAACGGCAGCACAGUAAGAGCUUGCUCUUACGGGUGGCGAGUGGCGGACGGGUGAGGAAUACAUCGUAAUCUACUUUUUCGGGGGGGAUAACGUAGGGAAACUUACGCUAAUACCGCAUACGACCUACGGGUGAAAGCAGGGGAUCUUCGGACCUGGCGCGAUUGAAUGAGCCGAUGUCGGAUUAGCUAGUGGGCGGGGUAAAUGCCCACCAAGGCGACGAUCGGUAGCUGGUCGGAGAGGAUGAUAGCCGGCCUUGGAACUGAACCAGGGACAUGACUACUGAGGGACGGACCAGUCGGGAACAUUGGACAGCAGGGGCGAACAUGACCCAGCCAUCCCGAGUGGGUGACGGCGGCCUUCCGGUUGUAAAGACCUUUUGUUGGGAAAGAAACGCAGCCGGUUAAUACGCAGCUGUUCUGACGGUAAUCAAAGAAUAAGCACCGGCUAACUUCGUG